UUAUCCUUCUGCCUUUUGGCUCAGAUCGUGUAGUAUCUGUUCUUAUCGUUUAAUAUGAUUCCCCCCCAUCGGGACUCCUUUAAUGAUUUUUCAACGGGAAGUCGGAAAUGGCUUGCUCCGUCCGCUCCGCGCAUCGACCGGUUUGCAGUACCUCCAUGUGCAACACUU
rnacentral:snRNA from 1 species